GGAGCGGUGGCCGAGUGGUCGAAGGCGCACGCCUGGAAAGUGUGUAAGGGUUAACAGCCCUUCGAGGGUUCGAAUCCCUCCCGCUCCGCCA
rnacentral:tRNA from 1 species